rfam:Triticum aestivum genome assembly, contig: Triticum_aestivum_CS42_TGACv1_scaffold_376438_5AL
AUACUACUCUCUCCGUCCCAAAAUUCUUGUCUUAGAUUUGUCUAAAUACGGAUGUAUCAAGUCACAUUUUAGUAUUAGAUACAUUCGUAUCUAAAGGAAUCUAAGACAAGAAUUUUAGGACGGAGGGAGUACUAG